rnacentral:rRNA from 1 species
CAGUGCCGCGGUAAAACGUAGGUGGCAAGCGUUGUCCGGAAUUAUUGGGCGUAAAGGGCUCGCAGGCGGUUUCUUAAGUCUGAUGUGAAAGCCCCCGGCUCAACCGGGGAGGGUCAUUGGAAACUGGGCAACUUGAGUGCAGAAGAGGAGAGUGGAAUUCCACGUGUAGCGGUGAAAUGCGUAGAGAUGUGGAGGAACACCAGUGGCGAAGGCGACUCUCUGGUCUGUAACUGACGCUGAGGAGCGAAAGCGUGGGGAGCGAACAGGAUUAGAUACCCCAGUAGUCCCUGUCUCUUAUACA